UGAAGAUUUUGUGACUGAGUGGCGGACGGGUGAGUAACGCGUGGGUAACCUGCCUCAUACAGGGGGAUAACAGUUGGAAACGACUGCUAAUACCGCAUAAGCGCACAGCAUCGCAUGAUGCAGUGCGAAAAACUCCGGUGGUAUGAGAUGGACCCGCGUCUGAUUAGCCAGUUGGUGGGGUAACGGCCUACCAAAGCGACGAUCAGUAGCCGACCUGAGAGGGUGACCGGCCACAUUGGGACUGAGAUACGGCCCAGACUCC
rnacentral:rRNA from 1 species